rnacentral:rRNA from 1 species
UUAAUCAAGAACGAAAGUUAGAGGUUCGAAGGCGAUCAGAUACCGCCCUAGUUCUAACCGUAAACUAUGCCUACUAGGUGUAUGAAUUAUUAGUUAUAAUAAUUUAUGCACCUUCUCGGAAACGAAAGUCUUUCGGUUCCGGGGGAAGUAUGGUUGCAAAGCUGAAACUUAAAGGAAUUGACGGAAGGGCACCACCAGGAGUGGAGCCUGCGGCUUAAUUUGACUCAACACGGGAAAACUCACCCGGGCCGGACACUAUAAGGAUUGACAGAUUGAUAGCUCUUUCAUGAUUUAGUGGUUGGUGGUGCAUGGCCGUUCUUAGUUCGUGGAUAUGAUUUGUCUGGUUGAUUCCGAUAACGAGCGAGACUUUUAUGUUAUAUUAAAUAAUAUUAUUUAUAAAUUUUAUAUUUUAUAUAAUAUUUUAUUUUAAUAACAGAUUAAUA